rnacentral:rRNA from 1 species
AUGCUGGAGGUAUCAGAAGUGCGAAUGCUGACAUAAGUAACGAUAAAGCGGGUGAAAAGCCCGCUCGCCGGAAGACCAAGGGUUCCUGUCCAACGUUAAUCGGGGCAGGGUGAGUCGACCCCUAAGGCGAGGCCGAAAGGCGUAGUCGAUGGGAAACAGGUUAAUAUUCCUGUACUUGGUGUUACUGCGAAGGGGGGACGGAGAAGGCUAUGUUGGCCGGGCGACGGUUGUCCCGGUUUAAGCGUGUAGGCUGGUUUUCCAGGCAAAUCCGGAAAACUAAGGCUGAGGCGUGAUGACGAGGCACUACGGUGCUGAAGCAACAAAUGCCCUGCUUCCAGGAAAAGCCUCUAAGCAUCAGGUAACAUCAAAUCGUACCCCAAACCGACACAGGUGGUCAGGUAGAGAAUACCAAGGCGCUUGAGAGAACUCGGGUGAAGGAACUAGGCAAAAUGGUGCCGUAACUUCGGGAGAAGGCACGCUGAUAUGUAGGUGAAGUCCCUCGCGGAUGGAGCUGAAAUCAGUCGAAGAUACCAGCUGGCUGCAACUGUUUAUUAAAAACACAGCACUGUGCAAACACGAAAGUGGACGUAUACGGUGUGACGCCUGCCCGGUGCCGGAAGGUUAAUUGAUGGGGUCAGCGCAAGCGAAGCUCUUGAUCGAAGCCCCGGUAAACGGCGGCCGUAACUAUAACGGUCCUAAGGUAGCGAAAUUCCUUGUCGGGUAAGUUCCGACCUGCACGAAUGGCGUAAUGAUGGCCAGGCUGUCUCCACCCGAGACUCAGUGAAAUUGAACUCGCUGUGAAGAUGCAGUGUACCCGCGGCAAGACGGAAAGACCCCGUGAACCUUUACUAUAGCUUGACACUGAACAUUGAGCCUUGAUGUGUAGGAUAGGUGGGAGGCUUUGAAGUGUGGACGCCAGUCUGCAUGGAGCCGACCUUGAAAUACCACCCUUUAAUGUUUGAUGUUCUAACGUUGACCCGUAAUCCGGGUUGCGGACAGUGUCUGGUGGGUAGUUUGACUGGGGCGGUCUCCUCCUAAAGAGUAACGGAGGAGCACGAAGGUUGGCUAAUCCUGGUCGGACAUCAGGAGGUUAGUGCAAUGGCAUAAGCCAGCUUGACUGCGAGCGUGACGGCGCGAGCAGGUGCGAAAGCAGGUCAUAGUGAUCCGGUGGUUCUGAAUGGAAGGGCCAUCGCUCAACGGAUAAAAGGUACUCCGGGGAUAACAGGCUGAUACCGCCCAAGAGUUCAUAUCGACGGCGGUGUUUGGCACCUCGAUGUCGGCUCAUCACAUCCUGGGGCUGAAGUAGGUCCCAAGGGUAUGGCUGUUCGCCAUUUAAAGUGGUACGCGAGCUGGGUUUAGAACGUCGUGAGACAGUUCGGUCCCUAUCUGCCGUGGGCGCUGGAGAACUGAGGGGGGCUGCUCCUAGUACGAGAGGACCGGAGUGGACGCAUCACUGGUGUUCGGGUUGUCAUGCCAAUGGCACUGCCCGGUAGCUAAAUGCGGAAGAGAUAAGUGCUGAAAGCAUCUAAGCACGAAACUUGCCCCGAGAUGAGUUCUCCCUGACUCCUUGAGAGUCCUGAAGGAACGUUGAAGACGACGACGUUGAUAGGCCGGGUGUGUAAGCGCAGCGAUGCGUUGAGCUAACCGGUACUAAUGAACCGUGAGGCUUAACCUU